rnacentral:misc_RNA from 1 species
ACUUCCUUCCGAAAGUCAGCAACCUUCGGAACACAUUUCGCUUUCUAUGUCAGUCAAGAAGCCACAGUUUGAUGACUCGUUUGAAAUGGACAAAGAAACCCCGAAGCCCAAAGAUCAAUGUUGUAGUUGAUACUAGUGUACUUAGAAUGUGACUUUUAUAAAUGAAGCUUUUCUGAAGAAUACAUUUGACUUUAAAUAGACACAGAAACUCCAAAGCAUCAAUACCAGCGUUAAAGCUGAUAUUAAGCUUUCUGAAACUGUAACCUUAAAAUGGCUGGAUGGUCAACAAAUUACCAAAUUACAGAUAUGCCAUGAAUAUUCAUAAAAAAAUAUGAUAUAUUUGUCAAUAAACUACCGCAUAUCCGGUUUUUUCGCGUGUCACAAACUUUGCAAAAUUAGCUAGGGGAAAUGAGUAGUUUUUUUGGUUAAUUUGCGUCAGUCAUUUUUCGCGGUUUCAAAAGUUAUUAAAACAAAAAUUACCUGAUAAAAUUUUUGCGUAUUCAAUAAGUGAUCCUGGGAAAAGCGAAAAUUAGAUCACCGCGAAAAUCACCGGAUAUACUGUAUAUAUAAAAUAUUGAAAUGUUAUAGCUUUAAACUUUUAAUUGUUUUUCUUAAUACAGAGCUCUUUAUUUCAAGGAGGUAUAUACAACAGUUUAAAAAUGGCCGGGACCAUUCAGCCCCCUGAAAUUGUUACAUUAAUGUGGCUUUUCUUAAUAAUAGAUACAAUGUACUCGAGAAUCUUUGAUUUUUGUGCGACGUUUCAUAUACGUUUGCGUGUAUAAGGACAAGUCAAGCAUGUAAUAUUCCAGAAAUGGGUUUGAGAGACAAAGACUGUGAGUUUUGUUUUUAAUAGUAUGAUUAUUGAAGGUUUAUAUGUAUACAUACAUAUUCAUGCUGCAUGAUAUCAUGAUCUCAGUCUACAUGUGCAUGUAUGAAAACUGUUUAUGAAAAUGUUUAAAUGAACAUUGUUACAUUUAAUAUGUAACGUUAAUGUUUAAAAACAUCAAUUGUUAAAAUAAUCAUCACUAUUGUACACGUAUUAUGUUCGUGAAUAAAGUGUUAUUUCUAAAUACAUAU